rnacentral:lncRNA from 1 species
GCUGCUUGUGCUCCGCAGGACUUCAGGAUUUAAAUGGGCUGAGACGUAUGUCCUGUUCCUCUCCUUUCUAAAAGGGAAAAGCGAUGGCUAUCUUCCACUGAAGUAUUCUGGAGGAAGCUGUGGGAAGAAAAUUGGUGGAUUUUAUUAUUGAAAUAAGCAGAUGGAUCUGAGAACGCUGUCUGGGCUUGGUACCAAGAGCUGGUAUUUCACAGCAGCGACCGCCUCACAGACGAGCUGUGGGAAGCAGGAGGGAGACUCUCUCUUAGGGUGCCACUACUAUGGAGACACAGCUGGGCUGAACAAGAUUUGCUUCAAACGACAACAAGAGAGACAGAAAGUAUCUGGUUCAACCGCUGCCCGAGCAGGCAGGCACCAGAAGAGCUAGCAGCCAAUCCGGCCAUGCUCGAAGCCAGCUCUGCAGCUCAGCCAAUCAGUGACAUCAUUGCUUUCUUUAGCUUGCCCAUGGUGAUGUGAAGAUGAGAAGAAAUAGCAAGGCCCAACCAGUUCUUCAUCUGGAGACAGUUCAACGUUCUGCAAACCAGAUCUUCAGGAAUUUUACUGGGAUAAUUAUCCAAAUAAAUUGCAAGCAUUCUAUCCAAAUGGAGCUCUUUCUGAGAUGAAGAGAAUUCUCAAUGUCAAGAUUUGAACAAGAAGAGAAUGGAAUACACAAUAUGGACAUCCAUAAAAAUUCAUCAGAGAGCAUUUUACUACUGAGCUGCAAAGGUAGGAAAAAUAAAUUUUUUUUGGUUAGAAAAUAUACUUCUUUCAUCUGCGUUUCAAUAAUUUAUUCCCCUUGUUAGAUAUACAUGGAAUUGAUAUUGCUUAUUCUGACUAAGUGAAAAGUGUUAUUUCUACUUACUGCUCAAUUAGAAACAUGUAGUGUUUAAUUGUCAGUUUGAAUUUUUCUUUCAUACUAUUACAGUUUAUAUUUUACUAUAGGCAGAAUUUCCUCUUUAUCCUAAAUUUUGAUAUUCUCCAUAAUUUCAUCGUGCCUUGACAUUGCUGUAUAUAAUUUCUAUACAUCAGGAAGGCAAUUCUGUGUGCAUGUGUGUGUGUAUAUAUAUAGUUAGAAGUUAGAAACUGAAACUCUUUUUUGUCUACCAUCAUUUCAUAUUUUUCUUGCUAUUUCAAACCUAUAAUUUUUAAAGAAACGACUAACGUAAUCAUUCAUAGAAUAUGCUGUCAGUAACUUAACAAUAUAAAUGUUAACAUGGAGGCAUUUAGUUCAGCAUUUGCUUUACUUAAUAGAGUGCAGAAAAUGUGGCCCUUUUCUCAGUUAGGGUGUAUGUGAAGAUAAAUUUAGAAUUUCUAGACUAGUAAAUACUUCUCUGAUAAUAACUUAAUUAUAGCUAUUUCAAACCAAAUUGUUUAAUUGUGGUGAAUCAUAUGUAAAUUGUUCAGAUGUAGGUCAACACCCACGCCCACAUUCUAGCACCUCUUUCCUAAUUCAAGACAACUUUGCAGUGCCUAAAAGAGCUGAACAGUGCAGAUUAGAGACAUAAGACAAAAAAAAAAAAAAAA